rnacentral:lncRNA from 1 species
CAACCCCAUUUUUCUUUCAACUUUUUCUUUAGUGAGUUUGUUUAGAAUACAUUACAAACUGUUCAUCAAUAUAUACGAAAAGAAAGUCUUAGAAUAAAUUAUGAUACGUACUAGUACUUACUAACAGAUAAACUACGUUAAACCUCAUAAAAGACAAUACGUGAGAUAAAGAAUAUGAGAAAAGGACCGGAAUGCACUGUUUUAAUAAUGAUUUCAUCCAUAUUUAUUACCAUAAUACUGUAAGUCUAAAAAGCCUUUCUUUUUUGACCAGUCAUGCAUACUAGUAUUUGAAGUUUAUUUUAGCAAAGUUAAUAUCAUUGUGAAGUGGAAAUUUAUUCUGGGACACCCACUACUAAUAUUUAUGAUAUCGUUAUUCAAAAAUUUUAGAUAUACUAAGUGCAAAACUGUAUAAUUGUAAUUACUAUGCGAUACAUUAUAGAUGAAUAAAUAUGUUUAAACCAAAUAUUUUAGACAUAAGGUACUGCAAUAUCAAAACAUCAUAGAUCCCGAAGGUGUUCAGGUCAGACUGUCAAACAGGCUUUUAAGAAGAGAAUACUUUAACAGAGGUCCGACUUUCCUAAUUCACAUUGACGGUUACAACAAGAUAAAGAAGUAUGGGUUUGGAAUCCACAGAGCCAUUUGUGGCUUUUCGAGACGGAUUCUUUGGCUGAAAGUUGCACAUUCCAAUAAUAAUCCGAAUAUCAUUGCUGCCUAUUUUCUAGAGUUCGUAAAAGAAAUAAGAGGGGUUCCACGGUGUAUCAGGAUGGAUGCGGGUACGUAAAAUGUUGUUGUGGUGGAUAUGCAAAAAACAUUCAGAUAGUAUCAUGGUGACGAUAUGGCUGGUGUACGAAGUGUUAUCGUUGGUAGCUCGCAUACAAACCAGAGGAUAGAGUGUUGGUGGCGACAGUGACAUCAAAGAUGCAUAGCGGCAUGGAAAGAUAAAUUUUGUCAAAUGGAAAAGCAAGGGAUUUUCUCAACAGCAGACGGUAUUCAUGUAAGUUGCGUCAGAUUCUGUUUUAUGCAACUUAUUCAGCAUGAAUUGGACUUAAUACGGGCAGAGUGGAAUACACAUUAUAUAAGGAGGCAGACACGGGAAGGAACACCUUGUGAAAAGCCAGACAUUUUAUAUUUGUAUCCAGAAUUAUAUGGUAAACGAAUUUAAUUAUGGUCUUGCCACAAUAAACCUUUUACUGAGUGAAAAGGGAACAAAAACGAACUUUUUAAGUAUUUAUUCUGCUCUUGUAAUUAUGAUGUAAAAAUGUAUACCCGUGUCAACACUGCAGGAAUAGGUCAAGUUAGCUUAACAAUGACCCAACAAAAGUUGCGUACAUACAAUAAGUAUAGCAAGAAACGUGAAUGGACUGUGGAAUAGAUACGACUUCAUACGUCAAUGAUUUUGAUAAAAACAUGCAAAACAGAUGUCAGUAUUUAACUGCAACUAAAGUGGAGUUAGUUGUUCUAUAAAAAUCAACACGUCGGAUGGGAUUCGAAACCUUGAUGGUCAGUUUGUUUUGGUCUUUUACAUUGCCAACCAUAUUAAAAUGACUCUAGCAACUGUUCCGUGUUCAACCGAA